ACCUAGCUGGCUCAGUCGGUAGAGCAUGCAACUCUUGAUCUCAGGGUUGUGAGUUCGAGCCCCAUGCUGGGUA
rnacentral:tRNA from 1 species